rnacentral:tRNA from 1 species
GGCGUGGUGCCAGAGUGGUUAAUGGGUGAGACUCGAAUCCUCCUCGUCAGAGAAGCGUAUAAGAUAUCUCAUGACUUCGGUCGCGCAAGUUCGAAUCUUGUCCACGUCG